GACGGAGGAUGCAAGUGUUAUCCGGAAUCACUGGGCGUAAAGCGUCUGUAGGUGGUCAAAUAAGUCAACUGUUAAAUCUUGAGGCUCAACCUCGAAAUCGCAGUCGAAACUAUUAGACUAGAGUAUAGUAGGGGUAAAGGGAAUUUCCAGUGGAGCGGUGAAAUGCGUAGAGAUUGGAAAGAACACCGAUGGCGAAGGCUCUUUACUGGGCUAUUACUAACACUCAGAGACGAAAGCUAGGGUAUCAAAUGGG
rnacentral:rRNA from 1 species